GUAGGUGGCAAGCGUUGUCCGGAAUUAUUGGGCGUAAAGCGCGCGCAGGCGGUUCUUUAAGUCUGAUGUGAAAGCCCACGGCUCAACCGUGGAGGGUCAUUGGAAACUGGAGAACUUGAGUACAGAAGAGGAAAGCGGAAUUCCACGUGUAGCGGUGAAAUGCGUAGAGAUGUGGAGGAACACCAGUGGCGAAGGCGGCUUUCUGGUCCGUAACUGACGCUGAGGCGCGAAAGCGUGGGGAGCAAACAGGGAUUAGAUACCCUGGUAGUCCACGCCGUAAACGAUGAGUGCUAAGUGUUAGGGGGGUUUCCGCCCCCUUAGUGCUGCAGCUAACGCAUUAAGCACUCCGCCUGGGGAUACGGCCGCAAGGCUG
rnacentral:rRNA from 1 species